AACAAUCGGUCAGCAGGUACGAUAUUGUGUAUGCGUGUAUGUUAUAUAUCUAUGAUUAAACAACAACAGCACAAAAAAGGAAAGGUAAAAUAAAACUGAACUGAGCUUCUAACUCUGUGAAGUUCUUGGCUUUGCGAGGGACGCCCAGCGUGACAGCGCUGUUUCUAAUCCUCUAAAAAAUGGCGACAAAGUGAGCUGAGUGGGCCCGCACUGCCAAUGUGAAUUUACGUGGGGUGACGUCACAGCUGCGACCUCUAAAAUUAUUAUAGCCUCUUUGAUCUAGGCCUAAAAGGAGAACAUUUUUUCCCAUCAUUGUCAAAAGAUUUUGUCUUUUCAGUCGCGAUAAUUAGGCCUAGGCUAGGCUUGCCUAGGCCUAUUUAUGAGCACACAUUUUAAUCUCUUCACCAAAAUGCAUACAGACCACAAAUAUCUUACAUCACUGUCUUUUGGGUAUUACGAACUUGCUUGGAAACAGGCGUUGCUACACACAAACAAACUUUCAUUCGUAGACCUACAAACGUGAGACAAGCUGCAACAGGUCGGGCUAAAGGUCGGGUAAACCCAAUUUUUCAACAUGCCGCCAAAGGACGCCAAAGCCAAGGGAAAGGGCUCCAGUAAAACUGCUGCUGGGUCCAGUAAAAAACAGGGCCAAAAAGGAAAGAAACCAGAGACGACGUCUUCCCAGUGGGGAGACAGGCCCUGCCCACCACCUUUGCCAGCACCAUGCCCACCGAGAAGACCAAAGACGCCGCCUACUCCGGAACCCGAACCUGAGCCUAUCGCCUGUCCGUGUCCACCACCCCUCCUGCCACCUUGCAAGAAGCAAUGAGCUCGUAGCUGAUCUUCGCUCUCGGAGCGGAUGGUGCGACACGAUCAGCAAACAGACGUUUCCGAGCCUAUGGCGUGACGGGAUGCUGCAGACAUCAGGCAGUGGAGAACCCCGGCUGACUUGUCCUCCCGGUCGCAAUUAGAUCUACUGUGCGGGACGGACAGACAGGCGCAGGACAGGGUAUCUAGGCCGAUGUGAGAGCUCUUGGACUGUCUGUUGCUUUGGAUGACCCAUGGCAGCUUGUUUCAAUAAACUGAUAAACAGCCA